UACGUAGGGUGCAAGCGUUAAUCGGAAUUACUGGGCGUAAAGCGUGCGCAGGCGGUUUUGUAAGUCUGACGUGAAAUCCCCGGGCUCAACCUGGGAAUUGCGUUGGAGACUGCAAGGCUAGAAUCUGGCAGAGGGGGGUAGAAUUCCACGUGUAGCAGUGAAAUGCGUAGAGAUGUGGAGGAACCCCGAUGGCGAAGGCAGCCCCCUGGGUCAAGAUUGACGCUCAUGCACGAAAGCGUGGGGAGCAAACAGG
rnacentral:rRNA from 1 species